rnacentral:rRNA from 1 species
UACCAGCACCCCGAGUGGUCGGGACGUUAUUGGGCCUAAAGCAUCCGUAGCCGGUUCUACAAGUCUUCCGUUAAAUCCACCUGCUUAACAGAGUGGGCUGCGGAAGAUACUAUAGAGCUAGGAGGCGGGAGAGGCAAGCGGUACUCGAUGGGUAGGGGUAAAAUCCGUUGAUCCAUUGAAGACCACCAGUGGCGAAGGCGGCUCACUGGUCCGGUUCGACGCUGAGGCGCGAAAGCGUGGGGAGCAAACAGG